rnacentral:misc_RNA from 1 species
ACAAACUUGGUCAUUUAGAGGAAGUAAAAGUCGUAACAAGGUCUCCGUUGGUGAACCAGCGGAGGGAUCAUUACUGAGUUACAACUCUCAACCCUUUGUGAAUUUUUACCUAGUGUUGCUUCGGCAGGUUUUCCCUGGGAGGGAAGUCGCCUUUGGGCAGCCUGCCAGAGGCAUUUUUACUCUGAUUUAUUUUGAAUUCUGAGUCUUUUAUUAAAAAUAAGAAAAAACUUUCAGCAACGGAUCUCUUGGUUCUGGCAUCGAUGAAGAACGCAGC